AUAUGAAUCACCUGAGGAUCUUGUUAAAAUGCAGAUUCUGACUCAGAAGUAGGGUCUGGGAUUCCGUAUUUCUUACAAGCUCCCAGGUGAUAAGGAU
rnacentral:pre_miRNA from 1 species